rnacentral:misc_RNA from 1 species
AAAAAAAAAAAAAAAAAGUAGUAUAGGAAAUCAAAAUUACAAAAAUUUUGUUGGAAACCCAUUCAUUGCCCCCCAAAAAUAAGUUAUUAUUUACAUUUUUUAUAAGAAAUAAAUAAUAUCAUGCAUAUGUAACAAAAUUAAUAUAUAUAUAUAUAUGUUGUUGCUAAUUUGUAGUAAAUUUAAAUCACAUUUUAAUUUUUGCUAAUAAGUAUGUGAAAUAAAUUUUACAUGAAAAUGUUUAAACCUAGCUAAUUGCAUUUGGUCAAUUUAUAAAUUUAUUGUAUUUACUUUUUAUUUAAAUUUAUGUGGUUUUAUUGGACAUAAUAUUUUAUCGUUUUUUUUAAAUAAAAGUAAUAUUAAUGAUAUGAUAUUCUCAAAAAAAAAUGAUAUAAUGCUUACACAUGAUCUUUAUUGGCACCCCAUGAAAAUAUAAACCAAGCUCCAAUAUGCAAGAGAAAAAUUAGGGAUAUAAAGAAAUUAAAUAUUACAAGGGGAAAAAAAAUGCAAGAGCCACCCAUGACAGCUUUUCUCAACACCAGAACUGAGAACUUCAUAAAUGGAUAUAUAGAUACUACAAUGAGCUCAAAAGACACUAAGAAUCUCAUUCACAAAACCUUCUCAAAAUUACAAAGCUUCCAUCUAGAAGCCUCAUAAUGACCUUUUAGACAGUCAAAUUUCAACUUAAUUCUAACUCAAAAAUAUAUCAGGAAGUGUAUGAACAACUGCUUAUAGACAUAGUACACAAAGCAAAAAAAUUUAUAACAUUUGACAUUUCCAAGGAACCAGUAACCUCUUUCAAAUAUUUAGUAUCUCUGGUUUAUAACAAUUACAACCACAGGAUUAAACCAUUAAAACAAUGCAGAAGCACGCUUUUCAAGGGUAUCAUGAGUAAUAUACAACGAUCACAUGACAUAAUAUAUGACCACUAAUCAAAAUUCUAGAAAUUGAUAAGCCACAUGUACCCAUCAUAUACAUCAAGUAGAUCACAUGACAUAAUAUAUGACCACUAAUCAAAAUUCUAGAAAUUGAUAAGCCACAUGUACCCAUCAUAUACAUCAAGUAGAUCACAUGACAUAAUAUAUGACCAUAUGGACUAUGGAUGAGAUAUUGAAGUUGACCCCUCAUCAAGCCCAUUACAUUCACCUUAAAAUUAUCAACUUGUAAUCAUUAGUGCAUGUACAUGUACAUGCACAAGAAAUCAUACACAGGCAGCUUCCAUAGUUCUCUUUUCCCAAAAACAAUGACAUUUGAUUAUCUAUCUGCCACAUUCCUAACUCUUUAACUAAUUAACUCAUUUAUGGCCUGCAAAGUUCCUUCCUUAAGAAGAAAGCCAAGUGUGCAAUACAAUACUUGCUGUGUCUGCAUGUACAGAAUUUAUUACAAACAGUAUAUGAAACUAGACUCAGACAUGUAAUUGCUGCAGAUAACAGAGAAAAACAGCAUUCUACCAAAAAGUCAAAAAGCUCAAAAUAAGGUAUCAAAAUAUAAUUACCAAAGGAUUAACAUUUGCAAGGCCUGCACCUUCACCAGAUGCCAAAAACAAUUCAUUCUCCAAAGUCUUGUCAUCUUCAAGAAAAUUUGAUAUCUCACAAGGGCGGAAGAACCACAAAAUUUUUAUUUUCUUCGUCUUAUCAGA